AUGCGAAGAUCCCAGCAGAGAGGCAAGUUACUCUUAUAAGAGGCCACUCUAACCAUUGAUUUCAAUAUCCUUCGCAUAAUUAAUUGCCGAAUCGUAGGAUGUCCAAAUAUUUUUAGUUUUGGUGCAUCUUGAACCCUUGGCUAUAUUUUU